UACGUAGGGGGCAAGCGUUGUCCGGAUUUACUGGGCGUAAAGAGCGUGUAGGCGGCCAAGCAGGUCCGUUGUGAAAACUGGAGGCUUAACCUCCAGACGUCGACGGAAACCGCGCAGCUAGAGUCCGGAAGAGGAGAGUGGAAUUCCUGGUGUAGCGGUGAAAUGCGCAGAUAUCAGGAAGAACACCAAUGGCGAAGGCAGCUCUCUGGGACGGUACUGACGCUGAGACGCGAAAGCGUGGGGAGCGAACAGG
rnacentral:rRNA from 1 species